GAUGAACGCUAGCGGCAGGCCUAAUACAUGCAAGUCGAACGGUGUCUUCGGACAUAGUGGCGCACGGGUGCGUAACACGUAUGCAACCUACCUUACAUUGGGGGAUAGCCUUUCGAAAGGGAGAUUAAUACCGCAUAAGACAGUAGCUGGGCAUCCAGCAGCUGUUAAAGAUUUAUCGAUGUAAGAUGGGCAUGCGUCCAAUUAGUUAGUUGGCGAGGUAAUGGCUCACCAAGACUUUGAUUGGUAGGGGAACUGAGAGGUCAAUCCCCCACACUGGCACUGAGAUACGGGCCAGACUCCUACGGGAGGCAGCAGUAGGGAAUAUUGGGCAAUGGACGCAAGUCUGACCCAGCCAUGCCGCGUGCAGGAUGAAGGCGUUAUGCGUUGUAAACUGCUUUUAUACAGGAAGAAACGACUCUUGCGAGAGGCAUUGACGGUACUGUAUGAAUAAGCACCGGCUAACUCCGUGCCAGCAGCCGCGGUAAUACGGAGGGUGCAAGCGUUGUCCGGAUUUAUUGGGUUUAAAGGGUGCGCAGGUGGUUUAUUAAGUCAGUGGUGAAAGACGGUCGCUCAACGAUUGCAGUGCCAUUGAAACUGGUAGACUUGAGUAAAGUAGAGGUGGGCGGAAUUGAUAGUGUAGCGGUGAAAUGCAUAGAUAUUAUCAAGAACUCCAAUUGCGUAGGCAGCUCACUUGGCUUUUACUGACACUCAUGCACGAAAGUGUGGGUAUCAAACAGGAUUAGAUACCCUGGUAGUCCACACUGUAAACGAUGAUAACUAGGUGUCGGCCGAAUCUGGUCGGUGCCACAGCGAAAGCGUUAAGUUAUCCACCUGGGGAGUACGCC
rnacentral:rRNA from 1 species